rnacentral:rRNA from 1 species
UACAGAGGGUGCAAGCGUUAAUCGGAAUUACUGGGCGUAAAGCGUGCGUAGACGGUUAUUUAAGUCGGGUGUGAAGGCCCCGGGCUCAACCUGGGAAUUGCAUUCGAGACUGAAUAGCUAGGGUGCGGAAGAGGGAAGCGGAAUUUCCGGUGUAGCGGUGAAAUGCGUAGAUAUCGGAAGGAACACCAGUGGCGAAAGCGGCUUCCUGGUCCAGCACCGACGUUCAGGCACGAAAGCGUGGGGAGCAAACAGG